CUCGUCGUCUGCCCUGAGUGUCCCACGGAGAAACAUGCAGAUGGGUGAAACUGAACACAGCGGCUUGUGUUUCCCAGUCAUGUGUCCUAAUCUAAAAAUAGUCACCAUGCACACCGAGAGCACCAGAAGGCUUCUGCACCACACCGCAUCAGCGACAACGUGUCAACAUCAUCCUCGAAUGCGCUUCACGCGGUCACAUGUCCGCACCAGGCAACAGGCUCUAUUUUAGCCGCCGACGCAAAUCUUGUCCCCGCUCCCGUUUCACUUCAUGGACUAGAACGGAUGGCUUCUCUCACUCCCCUCAGGGGACGACGGCGGGGCUGCCGGGUUGUCAGGCUGCCGCGUCCUCCGAGACUCGGGCUGCUCCCAGUCAGUCCAUCAAACACGCUGCAGUGUUCUCCUGCCAGGAGUCACACACCAACAAAGGCCGAGAGUAAACAAAGCACGCUGGCCGCCACAAAGGGCAACAAGGAGACCGGGCGCCGAAUAUACGCCGUUCUCAAACAAGUCACCGUUUCCUUUUCAUGCUCGCCUGGCUGACUUGACUGCUGCUUAACUUGCUGGCUUCCCUGAGUGAACGCUUCCCUGCCAGAUUCCUGAUGAGGGAGCCAAAAAGCAAAUGGCACAUAACGAGAGAGCUCCUAGUCCCGUUCUGGCUCCAAAUGACAAGGGGGAAGCGCCAGAGUGGGACACCUGUCAUUUCUGCGUGUUCACACGGAAAAUGGCUAACAAGCCGAUCCGGGUUUGAAGUCAGCGUUUAAUCGAUGAGAACGCGAAUAUAGCGGCACCUGCGCCGUCUAAUGAGAUGAAUCAAUGUCAUAGAACAGAUUGUGUUCCAGAUUCCAAGUGUAUUUGUUUACCUCAUAGUGUAUUUAUACUGUGGGCUAAUUUAAAACUGACCCGACCAAAUAAAUGAAUUCUCUCA